rnacentral:misc_RNA from 1 species
UUAUAAUAUUUGGAAUUGAUGGUGGUCAGUUGGUUUGUAAGCAUAGAGAUUUAAGGCACAAGGUGUAAGGUGCAAUGCUGUUUUGGAGCCUAGACGCCUUAAAAAAAGGGUAUAAUUCAAAAUUAAGAUCUAAUAUGCCGAACAAAUUCAAGAUAUUGGCAUUAUUAGCAUCAAUCUAAAGUUAACAGAUUACCAAGAAAAAGAACACAAAGCAAACAUCAUUUGAAUGCUAUUAAAAGCCUUAUAUUGUAUGUGGAAGUGAAGAGAAGAUAUCGAAAUCAUGUGAUUAUGUUUCUUGGAUUGGGUUAGAAAAGCUUGAGCUCAUAUGAUACCUAAAUUUCAACAUUUCAAUUUGAA